UACGUAGGUGGCAAGCGUUGUCCGGAUUUACUUGGCGUAAAGGAUGCGUAGGCGGACAUUUAAGUCAGAUGUGAAAUACCCGAGCUUAACUUGGGUGCUGCAUUUGAAACUGGGUGUCUAGAGUGCAGGAGAGGUAAGUGGAAUUCCUAGUGUAGCGGUGAAAUGCGUAGAGAUUAGGAAGAACACCAGUGGCGAAGGCGACUUACUGGACUGUAACUGACGCUGAGGCAUGAAAGCGUGGGGAGCAAACAGG
rnacentral:rRNA from 1 species